rnacentral:rRNA from 1 species
UACGUAGGGGGAAAGCGUUAUCCGGAUUUACUGGGUGUAAAGGGAGCGUAGGUGGCUGUGCAAGUCAGAUGUGAAAGCCCAGGGCUCAACCCUGGGACUGCAUUUGAAACUGCAGAGCUAGAGUGCAGGAGAGGUAAGUGGAAUUCCUAGUGUAGCGGUGAAAUGCGUAGAUAUUAGGAGGAACACCAGUGGCGAAGGCGGCUUACUGGACUGUAACUGACACUGAGGCUAGAAAGCGUGGGGAGCAAACAGG